AGGCGGACAUGUGGUCGCCGCAUGGCUGGAAUCGGCCAUGGGGAGGAAAGUCCGGGCUCUCAUGAGGAAGGAUGAUCGUUAACGACGACCGGGGGUGACCCCAGGGAAAGUGCCACAGAAAACAAACCGCCCGGAACCUCGGUUCGGGGUAAGGGUGAAACGGUGGGGUAAGAGCCCACCGGGGGAAUGGUGACAGACCCCGCAUGGUAAACCCCAUCCAGAGCAAGAUCGAACAAAAGGUGCUGCUUUACGCGGCCGGGGCUCCUCGCCCGAAUCCCUUUGGGUAUGAUCGCUUGAGGCGGCGGGCAACCGUCGUCCUAGAUGAAUGACCACACCGGCGCAAUACGCCGCGACAAAACCCGGCUUACGGACGCUCUC
rnacentral:RNase_P_RNA from 1 species